GCACAGGGCUUGGCGGCCGGGGCAGUUCCAACAAGGACCACAGGGGGGCGGAAAAACGCCCCUUCCCCUCCGGUGGGAGGAGUCCCUUGGAGUAACUCACUAAGCUCCACCUUGUUGAUUGCAGCCAGGCCCCAGGAAGGGCAGCAGAGAGCCUGAGGAUGUCACACAUUUCCCUAGGUUAACGGACUGCAGCUGAAGCAGCAUGCGGAGAUGUGCUGUGGAUGGGGGUACAUGCCAACACACCGCCCAGAGGGCUUUGCUGCCUCACAGAAAACUGGCCCCUGGCCCCACAGUUUCUGACUUAGCAGGUCCUACUGGGGAAUCUGCAAGAGAACCUGCAUUUUUCUUUUAAUUUUCUUAAUUUUUAAAAUAAAAAAAAUUUCUUUUAAUGUUUA